GAUGAACGCUGGCGGCGUGCCUAAUACAUGCAAGUCGAGCGAACAGACGAGGAGCUUGCUCCUCUGACGUUAGCGGCGGACGGGUGAGUAACACGUGGAUAACCUACCUAUAAGACUGGGAUAACUUCGGGAAACCGGAGCUAAUACCGGAUAAUAUAUUGAACCGCAUGGUUCAAUAGUGAAAGACGGUUUUGCUGUCACUUAUAGAUGGAUCCGCGCCGCAUUAGCUAGUUGGUAAGGUAACGGCUUACCAAGGCAACGAUGCGUAGCCGACCUGAGAGGGUGAGCGGGCAAAAGGGAACUGAGAAACGGAAAAGCCUAAGACGGGAGGAAGAAGUGGGGAAUUAGUGGCAAUGGGAGAAGGCCCGAAGGAGCAAGGAAGCGUGAGGGAGGAAGGUAUUAGGAUCGUAAAAAUUGGUGAUGAGGGAAGAAAAAAUGUGUAAGGAAAUACGCAAGGCGCGACGGUAGAUAAUAAGAAAGAAAGGGCGAACUAGGUG
rnacentral:rRNA from 1 species